AAAUAUUUACGGUUAACAAUGGGAAGGGGAAAGCAUGCAGCGGGGAGUAUCAGGUAACAACUGGAUGCUAAAAAAAAGGAAUGUGAAGAAGCCAAAAUUCAAUUGGUAACAAGGAUAAGGAAAACAAACACAGUAUUUACUUUCAUUUCUUGUUGCAGGCGUGCUACUCGCUCCCAUUUCAUAUAUCCUGUUGCGGCGUGCAGCCCGCUCCCAUUUCAUAUAUCUCAUUGCAGGUGUACAACCCGCUCCCAUUUCAUAUAUCUUGUUGCAAGCGUGCAAUCCGCUCACAUUUCAUAUAUCUCGUUGCAGGCGUGCAACCUGCUCCCAUUUCAUAUAUUUCCGUAGUGGCGUGACACUCGAUCCCAUUUACAGAUCAACAUCAAUCACAAAUGAAUUCCGGCAAGUGAACAAGAUAUAACAACAACAAUCUCGGAAAGGGAAAGAAUAUCGUAAACAAUAAAAUUCCAGCAAGGGAGACAAUGUCGUAACAAUAAUAUCCCGGCAAGAGAGAAAACAUCACAAAUAAUAACAUCCCGGCAAGGGAAACAACAAUGAUAAUCAAUAUAUUAAGCAUGAAUAAAUCUCAACGGAGUCACAACAAUUACAACACUAGACCCACAGAUAUGCUUGACACUGACGUAUAGAGCCACUGGAGGAGACUCUCAAGGAGCUUCUGGACAACCAGAAGAAGCUCUUAGAGAACCAAGAGUUGACAUUGGAGGCUGUAGAUACUCAUGGGAAAGCAUUGAAGCAACUGACAAAGAAAACAAAGAAGUUGAGAAAGACUCGAGCAUCAAAGGAGUCUGUAAAGGAGUUGAGGGUAGAAUUAGAGAAGAUAAAGGUUACUAAUCACUUGCCAUUGGAGCUGCUAUUUUAUAAUCUGAUUCCAGGAGCCCAGACUGAGCUAGAGUAGGAGUUAGACACGACGCCAAAGAGGAGGAGGGUGAUCCCCCGAGCUGAUGAUGCAGUGAUUGUUGGAGGACCCGCGGGAGGUUCCUCUAGCCAUCCUCAGGUCUCAUAGCAGCCACAGGUCCCAGUGCAGGCACAGGUUACAGGGGUCGAGUCAUAGGUUCUCGAACAGUCCCAGGACCCAGAGACCAAGGCUCAUGAUCCCAUGCAGACCCAUGACCAAUAGGGAGUUUUCUUUGCUCUCUAUCUUUUCUUGAG
rnacentral:lncRNA from 1 species